rnacentral:rRNA from 1 species
CGGCAGCGGGGGAGCUUGCUCCCGCCGGCGAGUGGCGAACGGGUGAGUAAUACAUCGGAACGUACCCAGUAGCGGGGGAUAGCCCGGCGAAAGCCGGAUUAAUACCGCAUACGCCCUACGGGGGAAAGGGGGGGAUCGCAAGACCUCUCACUAUUGGAGCGGCCGAUGGCUGAUUAGCUAGUUGGUGGGGUAAAGGCCUACCAAGGCGACGAUCAGUAGCUGGUCUGAGAGGACGACCAGCCACACUGGGACUGAGACACGGCCCAGACUCCUACGGGAGGCAGCAGUGGGGAAUUUUGGACAAUGGGCGAAAGCCUGAUCCGGCAAUGCCGCGUGUGCGAAGAAGGCCUUCGGGUUGUAAAGCACUUUUGUCAGGGAAGAAAUCGUUUGGGCUAAUACCCCGAGCAGUUGACGGUACCUGAAGAAUAAGCACCGGCUAACUACGUGCCAGCAGCCGCGGUAAUACGUAGGGUGCAAGCGUUAAUCGGAAUUACUGGGCGUAAAGCGUGCGCAGGUGGUUUGUUAAGACAGUUGUGAAAUCCCCGGGCUUAACCUGGGAACUGCAAUUGUGACUGGCAGACUAGAGUGAGGCAGAGGGGGGCGGAAUUCCUGGUGUAGCAGUGAAAUGCGUAGAUAUCAGGAGGAACACCGAUGGCGAAGGCAGCCCCCUGGGCCAUCACUGACACUCAUGCACG